rnacentral:rRNA from 1 species
UACGUAGGUGGCAAGCGUUGUCCGGAUUUAUUGGGCGUAAAGCGCGCGCAGGCGGUCCUUUAAGUCUGAUGUGAAAGCCCACGGCUCAACCGUGGAGGGUCAUUGGAAACUGGGGGACUUGAGUGCAGAAGAGGAAAGCGGAAUUCCACGUGUAGCGGUGAAAUGCGUAGAGAUGUGGAGGAACACCAGUGGCGAAGGCGGCUUUCUGGUCUGUAACUGACGCUGAGGCGCGAAAAGCGUGGGGGAGCGAACAGG